rnacentral:miRNA from 1 species
AUUUCACUCUUUCAACUGUUGG